GGGGUGCGUGCUGUUCAGAGCCUCCAUCUUCAGCAUUGAGGCUGCCUGCACAGCAGGGGCUGGGGAAAAAGCCGCAGGUUAGAACUCUCCCCCAGGUCCUGGGCACAGGGAGGUGGGGGAAGGAGAAAGGAAUGUGCUGUGUUGGAACCGUUACCCCAAAGUCCGCGCUCACUGAAAAUUAGCUCAUGCUUCGUGCGGCUCCUGGGGAAUAACCAUUAUUGGGCUACAGGUUUUCAGAGGCAGCUGAAUCCCAUAAUCUGGAUGAAAGACAGUUGGAAGCAAGUGCGGG
rnacentral:lncRNA from 1 species